GCCAAUGUGGUGCAGUGGUUUGGAUGUUGGACUAGGGUGCCUGGAGACCAGGGUUCGAAUCCCUACUCAGCCA